UACGGGGGGAGCAAGCGUUGUUCGGAUUUACUGGGCGUAAAGGGCGCGUAGGCGGCCAGCGCAAGUCAGUUGUGAAAUCUCCGGGCUUAACUCGGAACGGUCAACUGAUACUGCGCGGCUAGAGUGCAGAAGGGGCAACUGGAAUUCUCGGUGUAGCGGUGAAAUGCGUAGAUAUCAAGAGGAACACCUGAGGUGAAGACGGGUUGCUGGGCUGACACUGACGCUGAGGCGCGAAAGCCAGGGGAGCAAACGGG
rnacentral:rRNA from 1 species